ensembl:lncRNA
AUGGAGGGUGGGGGAAAAGUGGGAAAGCAUGCAAGAAAUGCAGAGGAAGCUGCACUGAAAGUCACAGAACAGAAAGAUUUAACUGACCUAAUGUUUAAAGAAGGGUUGAAGAAGAAGAGUUUCGCUCCCUCUUUCUCACAACCAAAGAAGAAUAAAACUUCUGAAAAAACAGACGCAGUAAAGCAGCAGAUUCAGGACCAGAUGGUACCUGAGAGCACCAUGGAAACGUCCCCUGACAGCAGCUGUAGCAACAAGCAAAAGAAGAAAAACUGCGGAAGUGAAGAUCUAAAGAGAAAAGAGAGGAAUAGAGAUGAAGAAGGAAAUGAUGAAAAGAUGAUCAAGAAGCAGGACAAGCAGAAGAACCUACAGAGAUGGGAGGAUGAGUUUGGCAGUGAAGAAGAGGCGUUCAUCGACGGUAUGGAAGGAGCCGGUGAUGAGGAAGGGUUCCUGGAUUCAGAUAUGGACAUUUUGGGCUGCGGAGGAAAGGAAGUAGACCAUCUGUCCUGUACAGAGCACGAGGAGCUGGAGGAAGAGCCGUCCAGCUUUUCUCUCAUGUUGUUGGAAGAGGAGUAGUGCAAGAAAAUAUUACUGUUUAAAAAACACACAAAAUCAUUUUUGUUGUACCCAAUUCAUUUGUUGUGUGAAUUCUCACAUGUUUACGUUAAAGUAGAGUAAAUUAAAGUCUGCUUUAAGCUGCAGACAGUUUCAAACUGGAUAAGUUACGUCAAAAACUUAAAGUAGUGAACAGUGCAUGAACUUGUUAACAAAAAUGAAACGUAAAAAGGCAAAAUCACAUGAUUGAUGACCCCUGACGCCAUUUUUAGUCGGUCACUCACGACAUGUUUGGUAUCUGGCUGGUGCUUUUUUUGUUUACAGAGGGAGGCUAAUGUUAGGCCGAUGUUGCUGCACUUAAUUAGGCCUAAUCCCAUUUCACCCCUUGGCCGUAAUACUUACCCCUAUCCCUGCUUUUAGAGUGUAACCCUUCCCCUCGGAACAGAGUUAGAAGGGGAAAGGGUAAAAUCCUCCCCCUAAAAAUUGGGACAACCCUUCAAGCACCUGAUACGUCAUCAGGAGCACUAAAGUUCAGUAACCAAGCUGCUGCUGGUUCACUAGUUAACUUUGGGCUUUAUCAUAUAUCUUUAGAAAGGGGCAAGUGGUGCAGAAAUGAAUUAUUAUUGUCCAUUCCUUCAUCCAAUUCUCUGUGAUGGAGAGCUAAAAUUUGCUUUUAUUUUAUUUAAUUUUUCUGUUCCAUCUUAAAUGCUGCAGCCACUGCCAUCUGUUGCACCAUUUAAGGUGAAACGGAAAAGUUAGCUAGCUUAAACUAUGGUAAUACAGUGCUAAUCGUCACUUUUAACAAGGAAAAUACUUACAUUUGUUGUUUUUUUUUUGGACGCUUUUUCCGACAUCUUACCUGAUUUUCAUACCCCUCAGUUUGAAGUGUGCGUCUGAAAAACCUAUGUAUAAAGGGCUAACAAGCCCUAUCCCUUUCCCCUACCUUUCCAGCCUAACAAAAAAAUUAGGACACCCCUAUCCCUUGGGACAGGGGUGAGAGAUAGGGCCAAGGGGUGAAAUGGGAUUGGGCCUUAGACUGUAGCCAAUCUUAUUUCUGUCAUGUGUAAUUUGAAAUAUCUGUUUAAUUACUACACAAACAAGUUUUACUAAAAUUAUUCAGUUCAACAAUAUGCAUAGUCCAUACAGUUGUCACACAAUUACUCUAAAACUGCAAAAACAUUGUCAUUAUCAUACUCAUCACAUCCUGCUGUGUAGAGCUAGUCGCACAGUAGUGUCCUAAAGCACAUUAGCAAACUAAAUGAAUAUCUGGAGGAGUUUUGAGAGACAAGCAUUUUUUGGGUUGUGUGUUUACAGUGUUUGAGUGAGUGUAUUAGCAACAUUAGCUUAGUGUUGUAAACUUACUAAGCACAUGUCUGGUACCAAACAUGUCUUAGCUAAUUGCCUAUUUUCGCAGAACUAAUCCUUGCAGAUUUUGAUCAGGUUCUGACAUUAUAUUGUGUUUAUUGUGGUGUAUUUUGUUACACCACCACACCAACAUUACAUAGAUGCUGUAUUGCAUGUCAUUUGUAUUGUGUUGGUUCAGCUAAAAUUAGAAAUGAGUAUUGAUCAGUGCAGCCAUUUGCAUUUGUUUAAGUUCAUAUUAUUUUAUACACCUUUCUCUAACAGAGCUGCUGAUCUUUUUGAUUAUUUAUGUAUCCAUCUAUGUUCUGUUUCCCUACACAGUUUUGCACAGUUUGUAUCCUAAUCUGAUUUACUGAUGUUAUUAGCUGCACAACAGUCUGUUAUUAUUUAAAUAGAAAUACUAAUUAACAGAGAGGAAAUAUUUAUUAUUUAAAUAUACUAUUUAUGCAUUGUGUUUGUUGUGAAGUUUGAGUGUUAUGAAUUGUGACUUUUAAUAAAGCACAAUGAUUAUGUGUUUC